GAUGAACGCUGGCGGCGUGCUUAACACAUGCAAGUCGAACGAAGUGCUUUAGAACAAUCCCUUCGGGGUGCGUUCUAAAGUAUCUUAGUGGCGGACGGGUGAGUAACGCGUGGGUAACCUGCCUCAUGCAGGGGGAUAACAGUUAGAAAUGACUGCUAAUACCGCAUAAGCGCACAGUAUCGCAUGAUACAGUGUGAAAAGAUUAUCAGCAUGAGAUGGACCCGCGUCUGAUUAGCUAGUUGGUGAGGUAACGGCUCACCAAGGCGACGAUCAGUAGCCGACUUGAGAGAGUGAUCGGCCACAUUGGGACUGAGACACGGCCCAAACUCCUACGGGAGGCAGCAGUGGGGAAUAUUGCACAAUGGGGGAAACCCUGAUGCAGCGACGCCGCGUGAGCGAUGAAGUAUUUCGGUAUGUAAAGCUCUAUCAGCAGGG
rnacentral:rRNA from 1 species